ensembl:lincRNA
GUGAAACUGACUGAAAUCUCGUCCCAUAAGGGAACUUAAAGAGUCUUCUGAAUGACAGCAAGUAAGAGGCCUAUCAAUCAAUCCAAGACACUCCCUACACCUGCAUACUAUUUCUAUCAAUGAGACUUUAUCAAACCUAUUAUGAUGCAAAGUGGUGACUCAUAAACCAAGCAUCUCAAUAAUUCUCUUUCUCAUCUUUUUUCUCAGUUCCAGGUCAAUUGAGGGUGAAUUCUCAAACCAGCAGGCUUUAAGGAGUACCUUAGGGUUCAGAGCAGACCUUUUUCUUUUUCUGCCAGUGUGUAGCAGAUCUCCUUCUGCAGCCUUGGCUGUGAUCUCCGCUCCUCUCCCUCUCUGCCUUGGCUAUCUGCCUGCUCUCCUGCUGUCCUCAUCUGUAGGAGCUGCACAGCUCAGCAAGAAACUGUUCUUACUGUUCCCAUCACAGCACUGGAAGAAAAAGAAUACCGAGAUAGUUGCCUAAAAAGCAGAAGAAGCUCCUGUCACAGUGCCAAAUGCUCUCGUUUAAGGAAUUCUGAUUUUACAAAAGGAAAUCCCCCAACUCCUAAACUAAAAGUUAAAGAUGAAAAGGCAUGUCUUAAAAUAGACAGUUUUGUGGUUAUUUCACUGCAGUCAAAAACAGGGAAAAAAUAAAGGAUAAUUUACCUUUGGGGAGCAGAAAGACUUACACUUUUUUAUGAUAAUAAGAUGGUCAAAAGAGCCAUAAAUUCCUAGAACAUCUAAAUUGUGUCCUGAAGAUGAUUUGGAAAUACAGAAGAUUCAUUUUAAGCCAAAAGUUCCCAAACCUUUCCUUUCUACAAAACUGGGAUCUGAAGCAAAGACAACUAAAAAACACCAGUCCUUUCAUACAAGUUCAUUGAAUAAAAAAUCUUAAUUGAAUCGUAGUCUCAUAAUCAUAACCUAAGAAUGAUUAUAUUCCCUUCCAAAACCUAACUAUUUUUAAGCACAGAUACGUGAAGUACAACUAUUGUUAUCUAGCACCAUUUUUAUACUCUCAAGAUGUUUGGUUAAGAUAAAGUCAGCAUAAUGCAGCAGAGCCAAGAGAACUGCAUUUUAGUUUCAAUUCUGCCCCAACUAACUAUGCAUCUUUAGCAAAUUAUUUAAUCCUCUUUUAUCUGUGAAAUGAAGUCAUGUUAGAUUAUCU